UGGGGAAUAUUGCACAAUGGGCGCAAGCCUGAUGCAGCCAUGCCGCGUGUAUGAAGAAGGCCUUCGGGUUGUAAAGUACUUUCAGCGGGGAGGAAGGGAGUAAAGUUAAUACCUUUGCUCAUUGACGUUACCCGCAGAAGAAGCACCGGCUAACUCCGUGCCAGCAGCCGCGGUAAUACGGAGGGUGCAAGCGUUAAUCGGAAUUACUGGGCGUAAAGCGCACGCAGGCGGUUUGUUAAGUCAGAUGUGAAAUCCCCGGGCUCAACCUGGGAACUGCAUCUGAUACUGGCAAGCUUGAGUCUCGUAGAGGGGGGUAGAAUUCCAGGUGUAGCGGUGAAAUGCGUAGAGAUCUGGAGGAAUACCGGUGGCGAAGGCGGCCCCCUGGACGAAGACUGACGCUCAGGUGCCAAAGCGUGGGGAGCAAACAGG
rnacentral:rRNA from 1 species